rnacentral:rRNA from 1 species
CCGCACAAGCGGUGGAGCAUUGUGGUUUAAUUCGACGCAACGCGAAGAACCUUACCAGGGCUUGACAUCCCCUGACCGCGUAUGAAAGUACGUUUUCACCCUCGGGUGACAGGGAGACAGGUGGUGCAUGGUUGUCGUCAGCUCGUGUCGUGAGAUGUUGGGUUAAGUCCCGCAACGAGCGCAACCCCUACGUUUAGUUGCUAACGCGUGAAGGCGAGCACUCUAGACGAACUGCCGUUGACAAAACGGAGGAAGGUGGGAUGACGUCAAAUCAUCAUGCCCCUUAUGUUCUGGGCUACACACGUGCUACAAUGGCCGGUACAGACGGACGCAAAGCCGCGAGGUGGAGCAAAUCCUAAAAAGCCGGUCUCAGUUCGGAUUGCAGGCUGCAAUUCGCCUGCAUGAAGUCGGAAUCGCUAGUAAUCGCAGGUCAGCAUACUGCGGUGAAUACGUUCCCGGGCCUU